rnacentral:ncRNA from 1 species
GGCUUAUAGAGAAAGACGGAGGGAUUAGACCCUACGAAGUCUUGGCAACCUGUGCUUACAAGGUGCUAAAUUCUACUGGAACUGAACCAUUAGUUCCGGAAAGAUAAGUU